rnacentral:rRNA from 1 species
UACGUAGGGUGCGAGCGUUAAUCGGAAUUACUGGGCGUAAAGAGCGCGCAGGCGGUCGAGUAAGUCGAAUGUGAAAGCCCCCGGCUUAACUGGGGAGGGUCAUUCGAUACUGUUCGACUUGAAGGCAGGAGAGGGCAGCAGAAUUCCCGGUGUAGUGGUGAAAUGCGCAGAUAUCGGGAGGAAUGCCAGUGGCGAAGGCGGCUGCCUGACCUGUUCUUGACGCUGAGGCGCGAAAGCUGGGGGAGCAAACGGG